rnacentral:rRNA from 1 species
CCCAGACUCCUACGGGAGGCAGCAGUGGGGAAUAUUGCGCAAUGGGCGAAAGCCUGACCGAGCAACGCCGCGUGAAUGAAGAAGGCCUUCGGGUUGUAAAAUUCUGUUAUAAGGGAAGAAAGGUGAUAGGAGGAAAUGACUAUCAAUUGACGGUACCUUAUGAGAAAGCCACGGCUAACUACGUGCCAGCAGCCGCGGUAAUACGUAGGUGGCAAGCGUUAUCCGGAUUUACUGGGUGUAAAGGGCGUGUAGGCGGGAAAGCAAGUCAGAUGUGAAAUCCAUGGGCUCAACCUGUGGCCUGCAUUUGAAACUGUUUUUCUUGUGUACUGGAGAGGCAGACGGAAUUCCGAGUGUAGCGGUGAAAUGCGUAGAUAUUAGGAGGAACACCAGGGGCGAAGGCGGUCUGCUGGACAGCAACUGACGCUGAGGCGCGAAAGCGUGGGGAGCACACAGGAUUAGAUACCCGCGUAA